CCUACGGGAGGCAGCAGUGGGGAAUAUUGGACAAUGGGGGGAACCCUGAUCCAGCCAUGCCGCGUGUGUGAAGAAGGCCCUCGGGUUGUAAAGCACUUUCAGUGAGGAAGAACGCCUGGUGGUUAAUACCCAUCAGGAAAGACAUCACUCACAGAAGAAGCACCGGCUAACUCCGUGCCAGCAGCCGCGGUAAUACGGAGGGUGCGAGCGGUAAUCGGAAUUACUGGGCGUAAAGCGCGCGUAGGUGGCUUGAUAAGCCGGUUGUGAAAGCCCCGGGCUCAACCUGGGAACGGCAUCCGGAACUGUCAAGCUAGAGUGCAGGAGAGGAAGGUAGAAUUCCCGGUGUAGCGGUGAAAUGCGUAGAGAUCGGGAGGAAUACCAGUGGCGAAGGCGGCCUUCUGGACUGACACUGACACUGAGGUGCGAAAGCGUGGGUAGCAAACAGGAUUAGAUACCCUUGUAGUC
rnacentral:rRNA from 1 species